rnacentral:rRNA from 1 species
AUUGAACGCUGGCGGCAUGCUUUACACAUGCAAGUCGAACGGCAACGCGGAGAAGCUUGCUUCUCUGUCGGCGAGUGGCGCACGGGUGAGUAUAGCAUCGGAACGUGCCAAGUAGUGGGGGAUAACCAAACGAAAGUUUGGCUAAUACCGCGUAAGCUCUAAGGAGGAAAGUAGGGGACCUAAUAAGGCCUUACGCUAUUUGAUCGGCCGAUGUCGGAUUAGCUAGUUGGUGGGGUAAUGGCUCACCAAGGCAAUGAUCCGUAGCGGGUCUGAGAGGACGAUCCGCCACACUGGGACUGAGACACGGCCCAGACUCCUACGGGAGGCAGCAGUGGGGAAUUUUGGACAAUGGGGGAAACCCUGAUCCAGCCAUGCCGCGUGUAUGAAGAAGGCCUUAGGGUUGUAAAGUACUUUUGUUAGGGAAGAAAAGCUAGUUUUUAAUAAAAAUUAGUGAUGACGGUACCUAAAGAAUAAGCACCGGCUAACUACGUG